CCCAAAAUACCCUUAUGUGUUUUUUUUUUAUAUGUUUUUUUCUUUCCUUUCUUCGACUUUUCCCCUCCAUCUCUUUAUCCAUAACCAGACCUUAGGAGCCCUCUGUUUCCUUUCAUGAAUCGGCCGGAUUGUAAGCGUGGAGACUGCGCGUUUUGAAGGAGAUGGUGAAGAGGCGACUCAGAGAGAAAACUGCAGGAUUUUAGAGAGCCCUAGGAGCAGAAGCAGAAGCAACAGGCAUUUCUUGCUGAGAGAUAUGUAUGAUGAUAUGAUGCUGGAUGGAGUACAGCCAAGUAGGGAUACAUUCCAUUCUGUCAUCAGUUAGUGGAAAGGUGGAUAAGCAAAAUGCUCAUUUCUUUGGUGUUACGAUCAACGAGCAACAAGCCGAGUGUGGUAUUGUAGAAAGAGUUACUUCAAAUGCACAAAGCAAAUUUAAGUUACUUUAUUUCGAGCAAGAUGUGAAUGGCGGUUAUGGUUUGGCCCUACAGAUGGAUAAUUGAUCCUCCUCUGGAGGUCAAUGUACCAUCAAAACGCACACCAUUGCCUGAUGCCCCUCCUGAACUCCCUACCAAUGAAAAUGUAGUGUUGGGCAUCCAAGAGCAUGCUGUAAAGCAUCCUACAAAGACCCGCACAUCUAGAUCAAAGAGACGAAGCAAGAGAAAGCAUGACACAAGAACGCUGGACACACAGGUUGCUUCAAAGCAUUCUGAACAAAUUUGAAAAUCUUAGCACGAAGACGGCUAGAGAUGCAUGCUGCUGUGUGAAUUUUAGGCAUCAUUCUUCAGCAUCAUAAAAAAAUUUGAAUUGCAAAGGCUUAUUAGCACAGAGGUAGAUGGCCUAACCUGGUAUA